rnacentral:rRNA from 1 species
GCCGGGGGGGACCGCCGGACAGUUCAUGAGGUUUUGGCCCUCUCAAAAGCCAAUAACCCCAAGCUAGUCUUUCUUUGUGAGACUAGAAAGGAGGAUACUAAGGUAGAGAAAAUGAAGUGGAGACUGGGCCUAAAAGGCUUCCACGGUGUCAGUAGCGAUGGAAGAAGUGGAGGACUAGCGUUGUUCUGGGAUGAGAAUCUCACUGUUACAGUUCUUGAAUCGUGUAGUAGGUUCAUUGACGUUCGGAUUCUCGAAGGAGGAUCUGGUAUCUCAUGGAGGGGUACCUUUGUUUAUGGGGAACCUGUUGGGGAACGUAGUAAUUUCAAAAAAAAUCCUACGCACACGCAAGAUCAUGGUGAUGCAUAG